UUAAUUUACCUUGACGCUGUAUCUUUUUGGAGAGAUAUCUUAAUUUCUUGGUGAUACUGACCCAAACUCCAACCGGACAGAAAAGAAAAGAAGAGAGGAGGAGGAGGAGGAGGAGAGUACACCGGCCCUUUUAGUAAAUCUGCGUGAGAGGAAGGUAAACUCUUUGUGGCUGAAGACAAAAGGAGGACAAUGUGGAUGAGGAUGCAACACUUCAAACCGAAAUCCAUGGGUGUGCGCGCGCGUGAGUGCAGAGACGGAUGCGUCUGGAUGACAGCUAAAUUGAAUGCCAGGGCCAACAAGGCCACGGGAUCACAAUGAGAGAGAUGAGGACAACACUGCACAGAGAGAGACGGAGGGAGAGAUGCUGGCAUUAAGCCCAGAGAUGACACAGAGAGACAGUUGUUGGGAGGUGUGUGUGUGUGCGUGUGUGUGUGUGUGUAAUUGAUUGAGUUUUAAUGUGGUCCCCGAUGCAGAGUCGCUGACAUGAGAGGGAGGAGAACGAGGAGGAGAGGGGAGAGGAAGAAAUGGGAAAACAACGGCUUCUUCAAAGAUAAACGGGAUCAUACACACUGCUCCGUUCAUUCAUCGUUUGUUAUCUUUUCGUGCGAUAGUGGUUGUAAUGCAUUGGUCACCUAAAAGUUUUAUAUAAAAAUGCGGAAGUUAUCUCCUUCCAGAGAAGCAAAGUAAAAUGUAGUGUAGUUCACUUUGAUAAAUCUUGAGCUGAAUGUUCUUGCAGCAGACGCUGUG